rnacentral:rRNA from 1 species
UGUGGGAUCAGUGGCGAACGGGUGAGUAACACGUGAGCAACCUGCCCCUGACUCUGGGAUAAGCGCUGGAAACGGCGUCUAAUACUGGAUAUGUGACGUGACCGCAUGGUCUGCGUUUGGAAAGAUUUUUCGGUUGGGGAUGGGCUCGCGGCCUAUCAGCUUGUUGGUGAGGUAAUGGCUCACCAAGGCGUCGACGGGUAGCCGGCCUGAGAGGGUGACCGGCCACACUGGGACUGAGACACGGCCCAGACUCCUACGGGAGGCAGCAGUGGGGAAUAUUGCACAAUGGGCGAAAGCCUGAUGCAGCAACGCCGCGUGAGGGAUGACGGCCUUCGGGUUGUAAACCUCUUUUAGCAGGGAAGAAGCGAAAGUGACGGUACCUGCAGAAAAAGCGCCGGCUAACUACGUGCCAGCAGCCGCGGUAAUACGUAGGGCGCAAGCGUUAUCCGGAAUUAUUGGGCGUAAAGAGCUCGUAGGCGGUUUGUCGCGUCUGCUGUGAAAUCCCGAGGCUCAACCUCGGGCCUGCAGUGGGUACGGGCAGACUAGAGUGCGGUAGGGGAGAUUGGAAUUCCUGGUGUAGCGGUGGAAUGCGCAGAUAUCAGGAGGAACACCGAUGGCGAAGGCAGAUCUCUGGGCCGUAACUGACGCUGAGGAGCGAAAGGGUGGGGAGCAAACAGGCUUAGAUACCCUGGUAGUCCACCCCGUAAACGUUGGGAACUAGUUGUGGGGUCCAUUCCACGGAUUCCGUGACGCAGCUAACGCAUUAAGUUCCCCGCCUGGGGAGUACGGCCGCAAGGCUAAAACUCAAAGGAAUUGACGGGGACCCGCACAAGCGGCGGAGCAUGCGGAUUAAUUCGAUGCAACGCGAAGAACCUUACCAAGGCUUGACAUAUACGAGAACGGGCCAGAAAUGGUCAACUCUUUGGACACUCGUAAACAGGUGGUGCAUGGUUGUCGUCAGCUCGUGUCGUGAGAUGUUGGGUUAAGUCCCGCAACGAGCGCAACCCUCGUUCUAUGUUGCCAGCACGUAAUGGUGGGAACUCAUGGGAUACUGCCGGGGUCAACUCGGAGGAAGGUGGGGAUGACGUCAAAUCAUCAUGCCCCUUAUGUCUUGGGCUUCACGCAUGCUACAAUGGCCGGUACAAAGGGCUGCAAUACCGUGAGGUGGAGCGAAUCCCAAAAAGCCGGUCCCAGUUCGGAUUGAGGUCUGCAACUCGACCUCAUGAAGUCGGAGUCGCUAGUAAUCGCAGAUCAGCAACGCUGCGGUGAAUACGUUCCCGGGUCUUGUACACACCGCCCGUCAAGU